GUAUUAGAUACCCUGGUAGUCCACACCGUAAACGCUGUCUACUAGCUGUUUGUGUAUUUUAUACGUGAGUAGCGAAGCUAACGCGCUAAGUAGACCGCCUGGGGAGUACGGCCGCAAGAUUAAAACUCAAAGGAAUUGACGGGGGCCCGCACAAGCGGUGGAGUAUGUGGUUUAAUUCGACGCAACGCGCAGAACCUUACCCAGCCUUGACAUCCCUAGUACCUUCCCGAAAAGGAAGGGUGCCUCCUCACGGAGGAAUUAGGUGACAGGUGCUGCAUGGCUGUCGUCAGCUCGUGCCG
rnacentral:rRNA from 1 species